GAUGAACGCUGGCGGCGUGCCUAAUACAUGCAAGUCGAGCGAAUGGAUUGAGAGCUUGCUCUUAUGAAGUUAGCGGCGGACGGGUGAGUAACACGUGGGUAACCUGCCCAUAAGACUGGGAUAACUCCGGGAAACCGGGGCUAAUACCGGAUAACAUUUUGAACCGCAUGGUUCGAAAUUGAAAGGCGGCUUCGGCUGUCGCUUACGGAUGGACCCGCGUCGCAUUAGCGAGUUGGUGAGGUAACGGCUCACCAAGGCAACGAUGCGUAGCCGACCUGAGAGGGUGAUCGGCCACACUGGGACUGAGACACGGCCCAGACUCCUACGGGAGGCAGCAGUAGGGAAUCUUCCGCAAUGGACGAAAGUCUGACGGAGCAACGCCGCGUGAGUGAUGAAGGCUUUCGGGUCGUAAAACUCUGUUGUUAGGGAAGAACAAGUGCUAGUUGAAUAAGCUGGCACCUUGACGGUACCUAACCAGAAAGCCACGGCUAACUACGUGCCAGCCGCCGCCGUAA
rnacentral:rRNA from 1 species